UUGGUCAGUCAGUACAGAAGGGAGGAGGUGAGCCAGGGGCUUGGAGAGAGAAGGGCGAUUUCUCUGGUGAAGAGAGAAGUGGGGCUUGGCUGGAGGCAGGGUUGAAUCGGUCCUCCCCUGGAAAGCCAAGGCCUGUUCAGGGGAAGAGCCAAUAGUCUUCAGCAGAAAUUCUGCAACUAUGAAACCUCCUGAACCCCAGAAGGAAGAAAGACUGUUAACAUCUCUGUAAAUUUUGAAAAUACUUUGAAAACACUGCGGCCAUGUACCUCUGCUGAAGAGAGACUCCCACACGCCUACACAAACAAGAGCGGGGAGAAGUGAGAGGUUGUCUCCGAUCCUACCUAACUGGAUCUGAGUGGUGGCAGCAAAGUGCAGCCAUUCAAUUCUGAACCUCUACUCUGACACAAUGUGCCACCCUGCACAGCAGCAGUGAAGUGCCAAGCUAUUUUGCGUCUGAGAUUUACAGGCAUGCCUUGCCUCUUUGUGACAUAAAAGUGAUGGAUAUUAUUUCUCCAUUAGAAAAAUACUUAAUUUCAAAACAUAAAUAUUUUAUGUAUUAUAAUUUUUUUUAAAAAAGUGUAAAGCGCAAUGAUGAUCUCCAAAGUACUUUCAUCUCAUUCCAAAGAGGUCCCUACUCAAGAUUUUUCUAGCCUCCAGUUGGAAUUUGCACCAGACAGGAUGGACUCUGAUCUCUCAAAUCAAAUGGCCAUUUCACCAUGCAUAAUCACACUCAGUGUCACUGAAAACAAGGCAGCAAAAGCAAUCAGAAAAGCUUGUGACUGGAAAUAGAAGCUGGACACAUUAAAACAAAAAGGGAUAAGAAGAUGGCAGGUUACUGGAACCCACAGAAAACCAACUUAUGAAGUUAGUUGCCAUGGUUUUAAGUGAUCACAUGGCAAAUAGUUAUCUGUUUCCACCUUGAGCAACCUUUUUUGAAAUACUUUUUGUAUGUGGGUGCAAGAUACAUGCACCUUUUUUGAGUACAAAUACAUACACCUUGUUUCACUUGCAUGGAAGCAGCUGAAGCUACACUUGGAGAUAUUCUCCAACAGAGACAUGUCAGUAUGAAUCAAGUAGAUACAGACUGAUUCAGGUAGAAUCAGGUAGAUACAGCUAGCUGCAACGUCCUCCUCUCAUACAUGGCAUCAGCUGGAAAAAAACGUUGUAUACAGUUCUAAAUGAUGAACACAUGCUUAGAUUACUACUUUUCUCAUUAGGCAAUUUCAACAUCAGAAAUAUCCAUUUAUAUUCUACCUCUGAUGUUGAACUGAGUUUACUCGGGGUACAUACAGGAAGUAGUGGUCUAGGAUAUGUUGGUCCCAAUCCAUUUAGGUCUUGAAGGUAAGACUCUUAGCUCCAGGCUGACAAUCCUCCCCAAUCAACAGUACCUCUGCUUGACCUGGAUGAAGGUUUGGUUUGCUCACUCGCAUCCAGUCCCUCACUGCUCUCAAAUGCU